UGGAGCGAAGUUUAUAGAGAGCUCAGAGGGGGGAGUAAUAGCUGGGGAAGCAACUGAUCACAGGUGGGUGAUUUUGGUGUCUAUUAUCUUUCGCAAAGUUCUUCACCUUAUUGACAAGCCAUUAGAGUACACUGGCUAUGGAAUUGAUUUCUUCCUCAACUUCCUCUAUCAGAACGAUGGCCUCUUUGGCUUACUCAGGAACUUUAUGGUUGGAAAGGUGGUGAUACCGCAGAGAGGCACAGAAACUUUUAUAAGU
rnacentral:misc_RNA from 1 species